rnacentral:misc_RNA from 1 species
GAUGAAGAACGUAGCGAAAUGCGAUAAGUAGUGUGAAUUGCAGAAUUCAGUGAAUCAUCGAAUCUUUGAACGCACAUUGCGCCCUUUGGUAUUCCAAAGGGCAUGCCUGUUCGAGCGUCAUUUGUACCCUCAAGCUUUGCUUGGUGUUGGGCGUCUUGUCUCCAGUUCGCUGGAGACUCGCCUUAAAGUAAUUGGCAGCCGGCCUACUGGUUUCGGAGCGCAGCACAAGUCGCGCUCUCUUCCAGCCAAGGUCAGCAUCCACAAAGCCUUUUUUCAACUUUUGACCUCGGAUCAGGUAGGGAUACCCGCUGAACUUAAGCAUAUCAAUAGCGGAGGA